AGCUAUCACUGCUUUUUAGAAUAAGCUUGACUUUUGUUCAAAUAAAAACGCAAAAGGAAAGUGUAUCUUAAAAGGCAAUGACAGUU
rfam:Macaca mulatta chromosome X, whole genome shotgun sequence.